AGCUACGCGUGUCGGCAACAUGAGUUCCUUUGCACCCAACGUGAAGGUUUGCGAGGACAUUUCCCACAUAAGUUCCGCCGCGCGCGACAUCAUCCUCGCCGCUAUCGACGCGCGCGUAGACAAGUCUGCACCCGUUGUGCUGGCGCUGUCUGGAGGCUCUACCCCUAAGCGGCUGUACGAGGAGCUUCACGAAAAGGAUCUGGCUCUGCUGCAGCAGCACGCGGUGCAGUUCAUUCUGGGCGAUGAGCGCCUCGUCGCGACAGACGACGAGCAGAGCAACUUCUCCAUGGCGACGAAAGCACUGCUACGUGAUGUGCCAAGCAGCGAUGUCAUCGCAAUCGACCCGAGCGCCGCGCUGGCGACGUCCAAGGACGAGAAGGGUGGUAUUGACGGCGCUUGGGUCGUCGCACAGGAUUAUGAGAUGAAGCUCCGGAAUGGCAUACCAUGCACACAAGUAAAUGGUACAGAUAUGCCUGUUCCUGUGGUGGAUAUUAUGCUUCUCGGAUUCGGCGCAGACGGGCAUACGGCCUCCAUCUUUCCGGACUCUGUGGCAGCCACGGAUGAAGACCACAUCGUCUCGGUCAGCUUUCCCAGCCCGACCAUGAACCCCAAGGUCUGGCGUGUCACGCUCUCAAAGACUGUGAUUCAGAACGCCAAGCACGUUGUCGUGCUCGCCUGCGGCAAGGACAAAAACUGGGUCGUGCACGGUGUGCUCGCCGAGGCGCCGUCGGGUCCUCUGCCGGUAUCGCGGUUUCUGAGAGACUGCCGCGGGUCGGUCACGAUGCUUCUCGAUGCCGGCUCUGGCGAGGGCCUCUCUGCAUAGCCUCGUGAGAAGCGGUCACCGUUUUGGAUGCACAGCACCGCUGCCUCCCCCUCCCCCUCCACUUCUUGUUCACGUAUAUAUUAGCAUCGGUGUGUCCGCUCUCCCACGGUAACGUGCUCAUUGCCCUACUUCUCAGUAUGAACCCUCUAUUUCACUCCUCCUUGGUCGGACUGUGCAGACCUCUGUCAGGAACGAGACGAC
rnacentral:misc_RNA from 1 species